rnacentral:rRNA from 1 species
AAACGGACGCUAAUACCGCAUACGUCCUACGGGAGAAAGCAGGGGACCUUCGGGCCUUGCGCUAUCAGAUGAGCCUAGGUCGGAUUAGCUAGUUGGUGAGGUAAUGGCUCACCAAGGCUACGAUCCGUAACUGGUCUGAGAGGAUGAUCAGUCACACUGGAACUGAGACACGGUCCAGACUCCUACGGGAGGCAGCAGUGGGGAAUAUUGGACAAUGGGCGAAAGCCUGAUCCAGCCAUGCCGCGUGUG